GCUGAUUCCACAGGCACUGCCCCCUUGAGAGGCCCAGCAAAUUAAGAAAUUAUGGUUAGUUUCUGAGAUGAGACAUGUGAGAGCUAGUGGGUGGAGAAAAUGGCUUACAAGUGGAAGACCAGGAGGUCUUCUGAGCCUUCUGCCUGGAGUGAGGAACCUGAAUGAACUAUUGUUGGUGUUCUCCUCCACUGAAAUAUGUAAGCUGUGUAAAUCAACUGAAGACAUUACAUUGACUUCCAACCAGAGGCUAUAUAGGAACCAGCAGAUGGCCAUAGUGAUACAAUUCUGCAAGUGGGUGUGGAACAUGAGGGGCUCAUAUAUUUUCUCUUGGGCAUAACCAGAAUAAAAUAUUUCCUGGGAAGAAUGCA
rnacentral:lncRNA from 1 species